CCAGACUCCUACGGGAGGCAGCAGUGGGGAAUAUUGCACAAUGGGGGAAACCCUGAUGCAGCGACGCCGCGUGAGUGAAGAAGUAUUUCGGUAUGUAAAGCUCUAUCAGCAGGGAAGAAAAUGACGGUACCUGACUAAGAAGCCCCGGCUAGCUACGUGCCAGCAGCCGCGGUAAUACGUAGGGGGCAAGCGUUAUCCGGAUUUACUGGGUGUAAAGGGAGCGUAGACGGUAGAGCAAGUCUGAAGUGAAAGCCCGCGGCUCAACUGCGGGACUGCUUUGGAAACUGUGCGGCUAGAGUACUGGAGGGGCAGGCGGAAUUCCUAGUGUAGCGGUGAAAUGCGUAGAUAUUAGGAGGAACACCAGUGGCGAAGGCGGCCUGCUGGACAGUAACUGACGUUGAGGCUCGAAAGCGUGGGGAGCAAACAGGAUUAGAUACCCCGGUACG
rnacentral:rRNA from 1 species